CCACCUUUCUGCUUAGUUGCUUAUGUUCUUGCAUAUUAUCAGUUUUCUCCAUUAGAUCCUUUAACAUAUUAAUCAUAUUAUUACAUUCUUGAAAACUGCAACAUCUGUUUCAUAUCUAAGUAUGGUUACGACGCUCUCUCUUCAGAUUGGUUAUUUUUCCCCUUUCAGCAUGAUUAUAUAUACUUUUUGAGAGCUGGUGGCUAAUAGGCCCUUAGUGUGAGGAUUUAUGUUAACCUGUGUAGGACUUGGGCUAUGUUCAGUGUUUGCUGAAGCUUCCAGAGGCUUUGUAUUUUUCUAAUAUCCUCGCUGUAGUCUUCUCUCUUGAUUUUGGGUUCUCUAAAUACUCCUCUUCAGAGAGAGCCUGUAUCUCGCAACCAUCUCAGCUGUCACUGACUGGAUUUUACCACAGUUCUGUUGGGCCAGUGGUAAGAUGUGAGGUGAGAGACAGAAUACGAGAAGUCUGAAUGAGAGGAAUGCCCUUCAACAAGGGUCAUGAGAAGCUCCUUCUCAAAUCUUCAACGUGAGGAUGGCCUAUGGCUCCUGGAGGUAUAAGCCACAACAGCGAGGAAUUUAACAAUUCAUCAACAUUACUAUUUAAUAAGUGUCCUAUUAGUUUAUGGCUGUAGUGGCUCUUCUCCAAAUAAGCAGAAUUCAGGUAAGUCAGAGAGGCAAGAGAGAAGCUACUCUGGUUGACUGAAAAACUAGUGUUCCUCAAAAGAAGAACUGUGUCCACUUUUCUGUUUGGUACAGAGCUCAGAUCCUUUGUGGGGAAAUCAUGCAAAAAGAAUAUCAUCUCAGAACCUUAUAGAACUAACAUAUACAAAUAUAAUUUAUCAGAAAAAAAGAGGAAAUUUAAACAGUAACAUUCAUCACCAUCAGUGGGAUUAAAGAAGACAUGAUAUCCUGAAAGACAAAAAAAAUUCCAUCAAGAGAAAAUAAGAUGGCAGCUGGUGUAUAUUUGGAUAGAAAAAAUGGUCCCUUCUGAAAAAACUUUCAUGCAUGGCAGUUAAAAUUGUUCCUAGCAAAAGAUCGUGAAAGAAGUCUUCUGGCAAGUGGACUUUUCUCUCAGAUCUUAGAAAUAAACUGAUUGA